GACGAACGCUGGCGGCGUGCCUAAUACAUGCAAGUUGAGCGCUGAAGGUUGGUACUUGUACCAACUGGAUGAGCAGCGAACAGGUGAGUAACGCGUGGGGAAUCUGCCUUUGAGCGGGGGACAACAUUUGGAAACGAAUGCUAAUACCGCAUAAAAACUUUAAACACAAGUUUUAAGUUUGAAAGAUGCAAUUGCAUCACUCAAAGAUGAUCCCGCGUUGUAUUAGCUAGUUGGUGAGGUAAAGGCUCACCAAGGCGAUGAUACAUAGCCGACCUGAGAGGGUGAUCGGCCACAUUGGGACUGAGACACGGCCCAAACUCCUACGGGAGGCAGCAGUAGGGAAUCUUCGGCAAUGGACGAAAGUCUGACCGAGCAACGCCGCGUGAGUGAAGAAGGUUUUCGGAUCGUAAAACUCUGUUGGUAGGGGAGAACGUUGGUGAGAGUGGAAAGCUCAUCAAGUGACGGUAACUACCCAGAAAGGGACGGCUAACUACGUG
rnacentral:rRNA from 1 species